UACGUAGGGUGCGAGCGUUGUCCGGAAUUAUUGGGCGUAAAGAGCUCGUAGGCGGUCUGUCGCGUCGGUCGUGAAAACUUGGGGCUUAACCCUGAGCUUGCGGUCGAUACGGGCAUGACUGGAGUUCGGUAGGGGAGACUGGAAUUCCUGGUGUAGCGGUGAAAUGCGCAGAUAUCAGGAGGAACACCGGCGGCGAAGGCGGGUCUCUGGGACGGUACUGACGCUGAGACGCGAAAGCGUGGGGAGCAAACAGG
rnacentral:rRNA from 1 species